ensembl:snRNA U6 U6 spliceosomal RNA
AUACUCACUUCAGCAGCACAUAUACUAAGAUUGAAAUGAUACAGAGAUUAGCAUAGCCCCUGCACAAGGAUGACAACAAUCUGAGAAACUGAGAUGGCACUGUUAU